rnacentral:rRNA from 1 species
UUGCGGUUAAAAAGCUCGUAGUUGGAUCUCGGCAAGUAGAGGGCGGUAUGCUUCGUAGCAUUACUGCCCUAUUACUUGUAGUUUUGCCAGAGGUUCCUGGGUGCUCUUAAUCGAGUGUCUAGGGAUGCUGGCAGGUUUACUUUGAAAAAAUUAGAGUGCUCAAAGCAGGCUAUUACGCUUGAAUAUUCGUGCAUGGAAUAAUAAAAUAGGAAGUUGUUUCUAUUUUGUUGGUUUUCGGAAAUCGACUUAAUGAUUAAUAGGGACAGUCGGGGGCAUUUGUAUUCAAACGACAGAGGUGAAAUUCUUGGACCGUUUGAAGACAAACUACUGCGAAAGCAUUUGCCAAGAAUGUUUUCAUUAAUCAAGAACGAAAGUUAAAGGUUCGAAGGCGAUUAGAUACCGCCCUAGUUCUAACCAUAAACGAUGCCAGCUAGCGAUCUGAGGACGUUUUUUUUGUAGACUCCUCAGGAAGCUUCCGGGAAACCAAAGCGUGUGGGUUCCGGGGGAAGUAUGGUUGCAAAGCUGAAACUUAAAGGAAUUGACGGAAAGGCACCACCA